rnacentral:rRNA from 1 species
AGGUUGACCUCGGAUCAGGUAGGAAU